rnacentral:lncRNA from 1 species
CGUUGAUAAGACUGACCAAGAGCUGAAAUUGAAGUUGGAAGCCUGGUUUAAUAUUAAGGCAUUACCUAACAGCCAUGUUGGAAUUUUCUUGGAAAAUCUUUCAGCAGAAACCAAGGUUCUUCUUUGUUGAUGGGAAUAAUAGUACUUUUCAACCUACCUGGGCUGGAGUUGACAGAUACGAUUAGCAGUGUUUGGUGUUCCUAAGAAACUGUUUCGGUGUGAGGAAGCGCCAGAACAGAAAGAAGCCACAGAGAGAAACGGCUUUGCCUUCCAGGGGACUUUAUAACCGCUUUCACUAUGUGAAGUGGUCUAUAUACCACAUUUUGGGAAAUACUGGACUAGAGAAGAUGUCAUAGUGUCCUGUGUUGUUUAGAAUGCUGCUUUUUUUGUGCAUUUAUGUUUCAAGUUAUAGCACCUCCCUUCCAGGACCAAAAAGCUACUAGGAAGCAGUUUUACAGCCCAAAUAGAAGCAAUUGUGAACCAGCUAAGAGGUUUUUCCUGUUACUUUAUUUGAUGAAGUUUCUUUACUGAACCUCCAAGGUCACUCUCAUAUAAAGAAACAGAGUAACAUCUGGAUUUCAAAGAAAAUUAAUCACUUCUUAAAGCUGUCCAAUUACUCUGUUAGAAGG